AAGAAAGGAAGUUAUCCUAAAAACGUCGCAUCCUUGCGACAACUGCUAACUGACCUACAUCUCGCAGG
rnacentral:sRNA from 1 species